UUAAAGAAAGCGUAAUAGCUCACUGGUCGAGUCGGCCUGCGCGGAAGAUGUAACGGGGCUAAGUAGUAAACCGAAGCUGCGGCAAUGUGCUUUUGCACAUUGGGUAGGGGAGCGUUCUGUAAGCGGUUGAAGGUGUGUGGUAACGCAUGCUGGACGUAUCAGAAGUGCGAAUGCUGACAUGAGUAACGAUAAAGGGGGUGAAAAACCUCCUCGCCGGAAGACCAAGGGUUCCUGUCCAACGUUAAUCGGGGCAGGGUAAGUCGACCCCUAAGGCGAGGCCGAAAGGCGUAGUCGAUGGGAAACGGGUUAAUAUUCCCGUACUUCUUACAAUUGCGAUGGGGGGGACGGAGAAGGCUAGGUGGGCCUGGCGACGGUUGUCCAGGUUCAAGUGCGUAGGCUUAAGAGUUAGGUAAAUCCGGCUCUUUUUAAGGCUGAGACACGACGUCGAGCAUCUACGGAUGUGAA
rnacentral:rRNA from 1 species